GUUUCAGUCAUUUUCAGUCUCCCAGUUUGUGGGACUUGGGAUUCCUAGAGCUGACUUUCCAGCUGGGAGGAAGAAAAGCAAAGGGGAGGAAAUAGCUUCUCUGAUUUUGAAACGUUGCUGUGUUGGGGAUCAAACGUAGGGUUUCACACAUAGGAAGCAUGGUCUAUACUAGUUCCUGAUUAUUAAACAAUCUAUUCUGCUUUACAUCUGAAUGCUUUUCAGCCACCAAGUUACAUGAUGCCACCAUGACACCAAGCUGACAUCCCUGGGCAGACGACCUCACCAAUAUGUCCUGGAACCUCACCUCUCCAGAGCUCUGCCCACUAAGGGAAAGAUAGAAACAGGCUGGGAGUAUGGAUCAAACUGCCAGCACCCGUGUCCAAAACAGAAGCAAUUACAGAAGCCAGACCCCCACCUUCUGCUAUCCAUAAAGAUCUUUGGUCCAUACUCCCAGAGGGAUAAAGAAUAUGGAAACUUCCAAUGGAGGGGCUCAGAUAUGGGACUCUGGUGGUGGGAAUUGUAUGGAAUUGUCCUAUAAUCUUGUCAAUUAUUAUUAUUAAAAAAAAAGAAUAGGGAAACUUUCAAUAGAGGGGAUGGGACACAGAAUUCUGGUGGUGGGAACUGUGUGCAACUGUACCCAUUAGUUUACAAUCUUGUUAAUUAUUAAAUCACUAAUAAAAAAUUAAGUGUAAACCCACAAAAUACUUGACUCAAAAAAAAAAAAAAAAGAAUGUGCCCUAUGAGCAUUAUUUGGA